UGAUGUGCAAGUUCAAGGUUUGCCUGUUCAGAUACUUUAAUAAUAAAGAAUGGGUGAAAAAAUUCUCACAUUAUCAUGCUACAUAAUAGUACAUGUAAGUUCAAAGGCAGAAGAAAAUCCAUUAAAAGAGAAUUUAUGAAUACAGUUGUUCAGCUGUAACAAAACAAAUUAUCUGAUGAAAGCUUCAACCACGAGAAUCUAGGAAAGGAUGUCAAGUCCAAAGAGAAGGCCAUAUAACAAAUGGUUGCUGAAUUCAUGAAGACUAGCUGGGAUGAUACAGUACUUUUCUACUCAUAUGAACCAUAUCUUAACAUCAUUUGAGGAUCCCUUUCUCAGAAAAAAAAAGAAUUUGCAUAUUCAAAGACUCUAUAGUUUAUUGUUU